rnacentral:sRNA from 1 species
GACCUAACCCCUAGUAUUCCACUAGGAUAUGGUCGAAAAUCGCGACAAACAUAAAAACCCCAUCAUUAGGGCGUUUGUCGCGUUACAUCUGGAAACGGGUGUAGGGUCUUCGGAUC